AGUAAUUAAGGUUCCAAGAUUCAUAAACACAAAGAAAAACUGAAAGAUAAAGUCUAGAUCUUUUGGACAAACCCCAAAAUGAUCUAUUUAUCGUAUAAUGUUGAAACCCUAGAUUCACUAGAAGACAAGAGAGUUGAGGCGGUUUGGGCGAAUACUCGACUUUGGGGAUCGAGUAAAGAGGAUGCUGCAAAGUCUGCGCCUUUGUGUCUAUGCUCCGAGUGAUCAAUUGGUCAAGUAGAUGCCUCAUCUUCUCUUAUCCGUAUGCUCAGAUGUCUGGUUGAGUGGGAAAUGAGGAGGAUCCGAAGACGCUUUGAUAGCUCAACAAGUCUUGUAGAGAUGGUCACCCUUGGUCGAGUAAAUGGAUUGAGUAGUGGAUCGAGUAGGAGGGGCGUGCAAGUGGAUGAAUCUGCUGCUUCAUCUGAAGUUGCCUUGAUCGAGUAGGAGGAUCGAGUAAACUGCAGCCUCCUCUGUGGCAUCCUGGAUCGAGUAAAGAGGUCGAGUAGAAUGAUGCCUCCUCUAUAGCUGCCUGGCUCGAGUGAAUGGGUCGAGUAGAGUCAUUUUAAGCUCCUUUUGCACCUGAAAACACACCAAAACAUGCAAUGCGAAUGCAAGAUGAUCCUAGAUGUCUAAGUAUGCAAAACAAGCUAAAAUGGUGCAAAAUGAUAUGAUACAAUGAGCAAAUGCAAAGCUAAAUGAUGAUAAACAUACACCUAAAAUGAGUAAAAUACAGUGUUAUCAAUGUGUCACAAUCCAAAGCGUUUGACUAAUUAUAAGAGUUAGAGAUGGAUUAAAAGUGUUUAGACAACACUUAUACCCAUUUUCUCUCAAAAGAGGCUAAAACCAACCAAAAUUUG
rnacentral:sRNA from 1 species